rnacentral:rRNA from 1 species
CUUCUAGCUUCGUCGGCAGCGUCAGAUGUGUAUAAGAGACAGGGGUAGGGGAGCGUUCCCAUAGGGUAGAAGUCGAACUGGAAGGUUCGGUGGACUUGUGGGAAGUGAGAAUGUUGGUAUGAGUAGCGAAAAGAAAGGUGAGAAUCCUUUCCACCGAAAGCAUAAGGAUUCCUGAGCAACGAUCGUCGUCUCAGGGUAAGUCGGGACCUAAUCCGAGGCAGAGAGCGUAGGAGAUGGACAACUGGUUGAUAUUCCAGUACCGGUAGUAAUUGUUUGAGCAAUGGAGUGACACAGAAGGGCAGGCAAGCAUGCGAAUGGAAGAGCAUGUGUAAGCGUGUAGGGUGGUGCAUAGGCAAAUCCGUGCACUGAAAGCCUGAGGCGUGAUGCGGAGUGAGCAGAGAUGCGAGCGAAGUUGUUGACCCCACACUGUCGAGAAAAGCUUCUAGUGAGAGAGCUACCGCCCGUACCGUAAACCGACACAGGUAUGCGGGGAGAGAAUCCUAAGGUGCGCGGGAGAACCCUCGUUAAGGAACUCGGCAAAAUGUACCCGUAACUUCGGGAUAAGGGUAGCCACUGUUGUGAAGUCCCAUGCGGAUGGAGCAUAGAGUGGUCGCAGAGAAGAGGCCCAAGCGACUGUUUACCAUAAACACAGGUGCCUGCUAAAGCGAAAGCUGACGUAUAGGUGCUGACACCUGCCCAGUGCCGGAAGGUUAAGGAAGGAUGUUCGGAUUAGUCCAAAGCAUUCGACUGAAGCCCCGGUGAACGGCGGCCGUAACUAUAACGGUCCUAAGGUAGCGAAAUUCCUUGUCGGGUAAGUUCCGACCCGCACGAAAGGUGUAACGAUUUGGGCACUGUCUCAACGAGGGACCCGGUGAAAUUGAAAUACCUGUGAAGAUGCAGGUUACCCGCGACUGGACAGAAAGACCCCAUGGAGCUUUACUGUAACCUGACAUUGGGUUUUGAUACAUUACGUACAGGAUAGGUGGGAGGCAUGGAAAGCUGGACGCUAGUCUGGCUGGAGCCGACGUUGGGAUACCACCCUUGAUGUAUUGAAAUUCUAACCGCGAGAGUAACGAAAUCCGGGACAGUGUCAGGCGGGCAGUUUGACUGGGGCGGUCGCCUCCGAAAGAGUAACGGAGGCGCCCAAAGGUUCCCUCAGCGCGGCCGGAAAUCGCGCGAAGAGUGUAAAGGCAGAAGGGAGCUUGACUGCGAGUCAAACACGACGAGCAGGUACGAAAGUAGGGCUUAGUGAUCCGGUGGUACCGAGUGGAAGGGCCAUCGCUCAACGGAUAAAAGCUACCCUGGGGAUAACAGGCUAAUCUCUCCCAAGAGUCCAUAUCGACGGGGAGGUUUGGCACCUCGAUGUCGGCUCAUCACAUCCUGGGGCUGAAGUCGGUCCCAAGGGUUGGGCUGUUCGCCCAUUAAAGUGGUACGUGAGCUGGGUUCAGAACGUCGUGAGACAGUUCGGUCCCUAUCCAUCGCGGGCGCAAGAGAUUUGAAGGGGGCUGCUCCUAGUACGAGAGGACCGGAGUGGACGAACCGCUGGUGUACCAAUUAUCCCGCCAGGGGUACAGUUGGGUAGCUACGUUCGGAAAGGAUAAACGCUGAAAGCAUCUAAGCGUGAAACCAGCCUUAAGAUGAGAUCUCUCAUAGAGCAAUCUAGU